AUUUCUGAUUUGAAGAGCAUAGUCACAAUGCCAAUGGAGAAUGCUGAGCUUACUACAGAGCAGGUUUUGAGCAGGGAUAUCCCAUGGGAGACAUACAUGGCCACAAAGCUGAUCACAGGAACAGAUUUUCAGCUAUUGAGACGCUAUGACAA